rnacentral:rRNA from 1 species
CCUACGGGUGGCUGCAGUGAGGAAUAUUGGUCAAUGGGAGAGAUCCUGAACCAGCCAAGCCGCGUGAGGGAAGACGGCCCUAUGGGUUGUAAACCUCUUUUGUCGGGGAACAAAACCCUGGACGUGUCCCGGACUGCGUGUAUCCGAAGAAAAAGCAUCGGCUAACUCCGUGCCAGCAGCCGCGGUAAUACGGAGGAUGCGAGCGUUAUCCGGAUUUAUUGGGUUAAAGGGGUGGGUGGGGGGUCCGUUAAGUCAGCGGUAGAAUUGCGGGGCUCAACCCCGUCGAGCCGUUGAAACUGGCAGACUAGAGUAGGCGAGAGGUACGCGGAAUGCGCGGUGUAGCGGUGAAAUGCAUAGAUAUCGCGCAGAACUCCGAUUGCGAAGGCAGCGUACCGGAGCCAGACUGACGCUGAGGCACGAAAGCGUGGGGAUCGAACAGGAUUAGAUACCCCUGUAGUC